UACGGGGGGGGCAAGCGUUGUUCGGAAUUACUGGGCGUAAAGGGCUCGUAGGUGGCCAACUAAGUCAGACGUGAAAUCCCUCGGCUUAACCGGGGAACUGCAUCUGAUACUGGAUGGCUUGAGUUUGGGAGAGGGAUGCGGAAUUCCAGGUGUAGCGGUGAAAUGCGCAGAUAUCGGGAGGAACACCAGUAGCGAAGGCGGCACUCUGGCCGGUACUGACGCUGAGGAGCGAAAGCGUGGGGAGCAAACAGG
rnacentral:rRNA from 1 species